ACACCAUUGAUGGUCCAAACUUGCUGCAUCUCCCGCCUUUAGAUAAGUUUUUAUUUGAUUCUUUUCAUUUCUGAUGUCACUGUAGCUCUGACCUUCUAUUUGCUUGUUUUUUGCAGGUAUCCUCGAUCUGUAUGCUUCUUCCCAGCUGAGCUGCUAUGUGUCUUCAAGGAGUUGUUGACAAAGAAUCAAGGAUGCAUUUUAUUGGACUCAUGUGGCUGCUUGACUCCUCCUUGUUUUUGAUUGUUUGAGUACUGAUGUCAUGACCAACAUCCCUACUCCUUUCAUUGGAUCUACCUCUUGACUCAGUUUGUUCUAGGUCUUGUCAUAUUUGCAGUGGCCAAGUCAACAGUUAGAGGUUUUCCAACAGAAGUGGCCAUGGAGAACACAUCUUCUCUAGCAAAGAAAUUUGGAGGGAGCUCUGGGAAGCUAAUU